rnacentral:rRNA from 1 species
GCGAGCGGCGGAAUGGGUGAGUAACACGUGGGGAACCUGCCCCUAAGUCUGGGAUACCAUUUGGAAACAGGUGCUAAUACCGGAUAAUAAAGCAGAUCGCAUGAUCAGCUUUUGAAAGGCGGCGUAAGCUGUCGCUAAGGGAUGGCCCCGCGGUGCAUUAGCUAGUUGGUAAGGUAACGGCUUACCAAGGCGACGAUGCAUAGCCGAGUUGAGAGACUGAUCGGCCACAUUGGGACUGAGACACGGCCCAAACUCCUACGGGAGGCAGCAGUAGGGAAUCUUCCACAAUGGACGCAAGUCUGAUGGAGCAACGCCGCGUGAGUGAAGAAGGUUUUCGGAUCGUAAAGCUCUGUUGUUGGUGAAGAAGGAUAGAGGUAGUAACUGGCCUUUAUUUGACGGUAAUCAACCAGAAAGUCACGGCUAACUACGUGCCAGCAGCCGCGGUAAUACGUAGGUGGCAAGCGUUGUCCGGAUUUAUUGGGCGUAAAGCGAGCGCAGGCGGAAAAAUAAGUCUAAUGUGAAAGCCCUCGGCUUAACCGAGGAACUGCAUCGGAAACUGUUUUUCUUGAGUGCAGAAGAGGAGAGUGGAACUCCAUGUGUAGCGGUGGAAUGCGUAGAUAUAUGGAAGAACACCAGUGGCGAAGGCGGCUCUCUGGUCUGCAACUGACGCUGAGGCUCGAAAGCAUGGGUAGCGAACAGGAUUAGAUACCCUGGUAGUCCAUGCCGUAAACGAUGAGUGCUAAGUGUUGGGAGGUUUCCGCCUCUCAGUGCUGCAGCUAACGCAUUAAGCACUCCGCCUGGGGGAGUACGACCGCAAGGUUGAACUCAAAGGAAUUGACGGGGGCCCGCA